UUAACCCAGACAGCACUCAAUACCAAGCUGCCCGCCAGAGAAUUGCAUGCAUCCUAGCCCAAAACUCAAAGGACUUGACGGUGUCCCAUACCGACCUAGAGGAGCCUGUCCUAUAAUCGAUAAUCCACGAUACACCUUACCCCCCAUUGCAAUAAACCUUGUUUUCAGCCUAUAUACCGCCGUCGCCAGCUUACCCUAUGAAAGCCAAACCACAGUAAGCAAAAUAGCUAACCGCUAAAACGUCAGGUCAAGGUGUAGCUAACUGAGGGGCAGUGAUGGGCUACAUUUUCUAAUAAAGAAAUCCCUCCAGCAAUAUGAAAUAAAGCCCUAAGACGGAUUUAGCAGUAAAUUAGAGUAAGCAUACCCAAUGAUCG
rnacentral:rRNA from 1 species